AGUGAACGCUGGCGGUAGGCCUAACACAUGCAAGUCGAACGGCAGCACAGUAAGGGCUUGCUCUUACGGGUGGCGAGUGGCGGACGGGUGAGGAAUACAUCGGAAUCUACUUUUUCGUGGGGGAUAACGUAGGGAAACUUACGCUAAUACCGCAUACGACCUACGGGUGAAAGCAGGGGAUCUUCGGACCUUGCGCGAUUGAAUGAGCCGAUGUCGGAUUAGCUAGUUGGCGGGGUAAAGGCCCACCAAGGCGACGAUCCGUAGCUGGUCUGAGAGGAUGAUCAGCCACACUGGAACUGAGACACGGUCCAGACUCCUACGGGAGGCAGCAGUGGGGAAUAUUGGACAAUGGGCGCAAGCCUGAUCCAGCCAUACCGCGUGGGUGAAGAAGGCCUUUGGGUUGUAAAGCCCUUUUGUUGGGAAAGAAAAGCAGCAGGUUAAUACCCCGCUGUUCUGACGGUACCCAAAGAAUAAGCACCGGCUAACUUCGUG
rnacentral:rRNA from 1 species